rnacentral:rRNA from 1 species
CCUACGGGGGGCAGCAGUGAGGAAUAUUGGUCAAUGGGCGCGAGCCUGAACCAGCCAAGUAGCGUGAAGGAUGACUGCCCUACGGGUUGUAAACUUCUUUUAUAAAGGAAUAAAGUGAGGCACGUGUGCCUUUUUGUAUGUACUUUACGAAUACGGAUCGGCUAACUCCGUGCCAGCAGCCGCGGUAAUACGGAGGAUACGAGCGUUAUCCGGAUUUAUUGGGUUUAAAGGGAGCGUAGAUGGGUUGUUAAGUCAGUUGUGAAAGUUUGCGGCUCAACCGUAAAAUUGCAAUUGAUACUGGCAGGCUUGAGUACAGUUGAGGUAGGCGGAAUGGGUGGUGUAGCGGUGAAAUGCUUAGAGAUCACGAAGAACUCCGAUUGCGAAGGCAGCUUACUAAACUGCCACUGACAUUGAUGCUCGAAAGUGUGGGUAUCAAACAGGAUUAGAUACCCGAGUAGUC